GCCUACAUGAAGCUGGAGUUACUAGUAAUCGCAGAUCAGAAUGCUGCGGUGAAUGCGUUCCCGGGUCUUGUACACACCGCCCGUCACACCACGGAAGUUGGGGCGCCCGAAGCCACUUAGCUAACCCUUUUGGGAAGCGAGUGUCGAAGGUGAAAUCAAUAACUGGGGUGAAGUCGUAACAAGGUAUC
rnacentral:rRNA from 1 species